rnacentral:rRNA from 1 species
UCGUACCUACGGGGGGCAGCAGUGAGGAAUAUUGGUCAAUGGGCGGGAGCCUGAACCAGCCAAGUCGCGUGAGGGAAGACGGUCCUAUGGAUUGUAAACCUCUUUAGGCGGGGAGCAAUGCCGGGCACGCGUGCCCGGAGGGAGAGUACCCGCAGAAUAAGCAUCGGCUAACUCCGUGCCAGCAGCCGCGGUAAUACGGAGGAUGCGAGCGUUAUCCGGAUUUAUUGGGUUUAAAGGGUGCGCAGGCGGGAGAUCAAGUCAGCGGUACAAUGUCGGGG